UACAGAGGUCUCAACCGUUGUUCGGAUUCAUUGGGCGUAAAGGGUGCGUAGGCGGUCGUGCAAGUCGGAAUGUGAAAUCUCAGGGCUCAACCCUGAAACUGCAUUCGAUACUGCGUGGCUAGAGUGCUGGAGAGGAGACUGGAAUUUACGGUGUAAGCAGUGAAAUGCGUAGAUAUCGUAAGGAAGACCAGUGGCGAAGGCGAGUCUCUGGACAGCAACUGACGCUGAGCACGAAGGCCAGGGGAGCAAACGGG
rnacentral:rRNA from 1 species